ACGGUAUUUUAUCGAAAAAAACAAAGACGCACAAUUUUCAGUGAUACCUCGGGGUGCUUGAUCAAUUGGUGGAGCAGGAGGUAAAAAGAAAUAAAAGAAGCAACUCUUUUCUCCAGAAUUGAAGGUAAGACCUACAAUCAUACAUGUGUAAAAUAUAAACAGUGGAACUACUGGACAUGUUUAUGCACAAAGUAUAGUUUUUACAGGGGGCAUAAAAUCAAUUUUCUAUUAGCAUCCCCCCUUAUCCCCCCAAAACAUGGGGGGAUGAAAAGCAAAAAUUUGUUUCAAAACUUAAACAGAAUGGUUGACCAAAUUCAGAUUCUGCCAGCAGUGGGCUAGAUUCUAUUCUAAUUUUGACAACAAAACAUUUUGAUACAGUAACAUAGGAUGACAGCAGACUGUCACAAAAAAAGCGGGAGGAUGGAGUCGCCAACCAGAAAAUGAAUAAUUUCUUUCAUAAUGAAAAGAAAGGGGAAAAAUGUCAAAAUAAAGUUGAAAUGCGGGGGGUGGGGUGUUAACUGUUUCCAGAUAGGUGAAUUAAUAAACCCCUGUAAAGCUACUUCUUGGUUGAAUGAAAUUUGAAUGAUUUAAAACAAUUUCUGUACUGUGUUUUUGUUCUGUCAUAAUGAAUCAUACAUACAUAUUGUAAAACCUAUACGGUACCAAUUUUGAUGCACCAGAUGCUCAUUUGGACAAAUAAUGUCUCUUCAGUGAUGCUCAACCGAAAUGUUUGAAAUCCGAAAUAACAAUGAAGUUUUAGAGCUAUUUUAGGGAAAAACAGUAUACCAAAAAAAUGGAGUCAAAUUCGUCAAAGGAUAAGAGCUAUGCGUGAGGGAGAUAAUCCUUAAUUUUGAAAUGAAUUUCUAAAUUUUGUAACAGCAAUUAAAAAUACAUCCGUAUUUUCAAGCUAGUAACGAAGUACUUAGCUACUGGGGUGUACAGACUCUCGGAGACUAACAGUCCACCAGCAGAGGCCUCGACCCAGGGGUCAUAAUGUAAAACUUAUACGGUACCAAUUUUGAUGCACCAGAUGCGCAUUUCGACAAAUAAUGUCUCUUCAGUGAUGCUCAACCGAAAUGUUUGAAAUCCGAAAUAACACUGAAGUUUUAUAGCUAUUUUAGGGAAAAACAGUGUGCCAAAAAAGUGGAGUCGAGUUCGUCUAAGGAUAAGAGCUAUGUGUGAGGGAGAUAAUCCUUAAUUUUGAAAUGAAUUUCUAAAUUUUGUAACAGCAAUUAAAUACAUAUUCGUGUUUUCAAGCUAGUAACGAAGUACUUAGCUACUCGGCUGUAUGAUCUGCACCUGAGAGGGUAGGAGCUUGAGUCUCCAUAACUAUAACUUGACUAAUUUAAAUUUUAUGGGUUUAUAGUUGCUACUUUAUUUUUCACCACAUAGGUUCUGUACAGGACAAAGGCAUCGAAAGACAAACUUGCAAGAAUAAUUUAUUCUUCAAGCUUAAAACCACACAUAUAUACAUGUCUUUUGAAAGAUGUCAACAAGGAAAUGGCAUCUGUUGUGUCUACUAAACGAAAUCAAUUUUGAGACAUAUUAACUGUGACAGCUUGGCCACUUUCAGCAUAGAUCUUUUUUAAUCACGAUCUUCAACUUCAAGCACCCCUGCCUUACAGAAUUGUUUAAACAUUGGUGAAGGACUCGGAGGUUGGAACAUCUGUGGGUUCAGCUGUGUUGUUAAACUUUUGGAACAAACACAUGUCUUCUUUGCAUCACAUAAUUACACAAGGUCUUGACCGAGGUGGUGCCACAGAUGAGGUAUCAAUUAACAAUAUCAAUUUCCGAGAGCCGAAUUUUAGUUUAAUUGAAUAUGAUUUGCUUAAGCUGAAUUGUCUCUCAUAACAUUGAAUUAUUUGAAUGAAUAAAAACCACAAUUUUUAGCAUUAUGUCCAUUGAUGUUCUAUGUCUAGCAGCUUUUUAUAAGAUACGACAUAUUGGUACUAGCUGUGAGAGUUUCUUCUAUUAGUUAAUUGACAAGUGAAGACAAUUAGCAAUAUUUAGGUAUCUUGGUUCACUCGGGGGACCUAUUGCCUAUGAUAUGUUUCUGUCAUCGUUUGUUAAUACAUUUUACAUUUUUAAACUUCUUCUUGAAAACUACAAGGCCAAUUAAUACAUAAAUGCCUAAUUAUGAUGCCCAAUAACAUGAAUAAGCCUUUUACAUAUUUGUUUUUAAUUCAUGGCCCCUAUGUCAGAGAUUCAGGCUUGAGGGGGAGGAGCAAAUAUGGUCAUUAAGUGAACAUGUAUUCAAUUUCAGAAAAUCUUCGUUAUUCACAGUAGUGGAGGAUAAUAUGAAUACAUGAUUGUGAUGUCCGUGAAGCUUUCUUAACAAUAGCCUCCCUGAAUAAACUUGGAUUCUGUGUGUCAACAUCAUCUGCAGCAAAGCAAAAGCAAGAACUUUUGAAACGACAGAUGCAACAUAUUGAAAAAUUAAUAAUACGGGAGAAGGCCGAAAUUGAGGAAUCAGUUUAUCUAUCAAACUUUCUACAAGAUAUCUUCCGCGGGAGACAGAGGAAGUCUAGCAUUCCUUAGGAACCGAGUCGGAAGAAUUGAUGUCCAUGGUGCUGUAGAAAUAAUUGGUAAAUACAGGUCACACUUUGCAUUCGUGGAAGACUGCCUUGACGCACAUUUAGUUGCAACUGCACUGGAGUAUUUGGAGAUAAAAGAUGUUGAGGAAGAAUCAAAUUCAAACAGCCAUUGUUUGAGGGUCUUUCUAAAGAAGAACAGUGCCAGUUCAUUUACUCCAUUGCACGAGGGAUUUUGGAUCAAUACAUUAAAUCAUCAGAUGCAUUGAAUGUCAUCUCUAUGAAGGCUCAGGCACUAGGUGCUUAAGUGAACCACCUAAAUACCAUGUAAGACAGUCACCAGAAGAAAUUCAUUUGCCAGCCUUGUAAUAGGAAGUACAAAACAUUAACUGGUAUAAAAAAAACAUUUGCAAAAGCGAAAUGGAAUGGCUGAUCUGGGAGAACUUGAAAACACAUCAUCCAAACUGAAUCAUGUUGCUUUAUACCAUGCAUCCUUCAUGAAAGGUGUUCUCCCUCUACGCGAUACAAAGGACGCUUAUCAAAUGGGGGAUGGUGAUAGGGUUCUCAAUAAUGCAAAAUUGCAGAUGCUGUUAUCAAGGGCUGGAAAUCAUACCAAAUAUCAACUUUCGUUAUUUCGUUACAUGGCAAACCGUUUCUGCUUACUCACCCCGAGAAUGGCUUACAAGUACAAAUGGAACUGUUCCACAAAUUUGCAAGGUGGUCUGGGAAAUAAUAUUUCAUGCAAUAAUUUAGUAGAACUACUUGUACAUACUGUGAAAAAGCUGUGUAUGUACAAGGUGCCAACACAACAUUCUCAGGUGUAAGAAAAACCGCACUUGCCAUCCAAGUCCAGGAUGAAAUCAAGAGCAAUAUUCAAAUGGAAUGUGACAAAAAACAAAGCGGGAAGAAACGUCCAACUUUAUCUAAACUACUAAACAUUUCCGCUAUGGCUUCUGAACUUGUCUCUGUCUUCGACAUUGUAUCAGGACGGCAAUAGUCAUCAUUUACUGGAUUCAAAGACCUGUCUCUGAAUAUCAUUGUUGGGGAACUUCAUAAAUGGUUAACAAUGAAUAAAGAAAGACUAAGCUAUGAAACACUUUAAUUCGGCAGUAACGAAAAAUUGCUGUCCAUUCCAGACAUUAGGAUUUCUAGAAGAAAGUUAUUAUAAUCUAACAUGAACCUGCAGGAUGAUUUACAUAAUAGUAUUCAUUUUAUUGAAUUUGUUAAAGCUGUACAACAUAUUAAAUGUUGCAAAUUUUACGAG